AGCGAACGCUGGCGGCAGGCCUAACACAUGCAAGUCGAACGGACCCUUCGGGGUUAGUGGCGGACGGGUGAGUAACACGUGGGAACGUGCCUUUAGGUUCGGAAUAGCUCCUGGAAACGGGUGGUAAUGCCGAAUGUGCCCUUCGGGGGAAAGAUUUAUCGCCUUUAGAGCGGCCCGCGUCUGAUUAGCUAGUUGGUGAGGUAACGGCUCACCAAGGCGACGAUCAGUAGCUGGUCUGAGAGGAUGACCAGCCACACUGGGACUGAGACACGGCCCAGACUACUACGGGAGGCAGCAGUGGGGAAUCUUGCGCAAUGGGCGAAAGCAUGACGCAGCCAUGCCGCGUGAAUGAUGAAGGUCUUAGGAUUGUAAAAUUCUUUCACCGGGGACGAUAAUGACGGUACCCGGAGAAGAAGCCCCGGCUAACUUCGUG
rnacentral:rRNA from 1 species